GGGUAGAGGAAGAGGGCUGGGUCCACUGCUACUGGGAUGACCAAGUGCAUUUUUGUGUUCUCCUGUUGCUGCUUCUGCAAAGUGAACAGAGAGAGGCAAGUCUCAUUUUAGAUUCAAAAUAUAAACAAGUAAUGGGAUCUUGAAAGGAAGAAUCAGAGACACCCUGAAACAGAAGAGGACAGCACUCAGGAGACUGAGUUAAUUGUGAAA
rnacentral:lncRNA from 1 species